rnacentral:lncRNA from 1 species
GGAGCUUCGGUCAAGUACGAGCUGUUCAAGGAAUCGGCGGAAGACUCCGCAUGUGAUGGCCGACUCCCGUGGCUGCCUACUGCACCGCUGCAUGAAAGAAGCUAAAGAUUGACCUUGGCCGAGGAAUUUUAAUGGAAAACCAGAAGUGGCAGUGGCUUCCAGAAGAAACCGAGGGCUCCCUUGCUUUCUCAGAGAGAAAGAGCAAAGGCACUGUGGCGCAUCGAAAACCUGCACAACUAGAGCAUCCCUGGUUCACCAUGCUGCUCUUUCAUCAAAGAGGAAGGUCAUCAUCCUCAGAGAAGCUUCAUGCACUGAAGCAUGCUUUCCACCAGAGGAGCAGGUGGGAAACGAGUUCUUCCAAGGGAGCGUCUACCGAUACCUGGCGGGCAAGCUGAAAGUCAUCAGAAGGCCGAAUGAAUAAAUCGUUGGUGGUUCAUCUGCAUGUACAACCAUCAACUGUUGUGUGCACCUUUUUGCAGAUCCAUAUUACUUAGUCACAAUCUGUGCCAGUAACACAUAUCAGUAACUGGCUUUUUGAUUGAGGCUUCUUUUAUGAUGUCUGAA